rnacentral:lncRNA from 1 species
AUGCAUUUUGGAGCAAAAAUUAAUAUAAGACCCUGUGUUAUUUUUGGGGAAACACGGUAUCAGAUGUUUUUAUCAUCAUUGCAUUUGGCACCUCUGUCUAUCAGUGUCAUCUUCUGGUGCUUAUCUGAAUUCAUGAUUAUCUGUAUGUUAUGGCAUACUUUUGUACAUCCUGUGCCAGUAAAAGUGGCUAUGGUUUAAAGACUAGUGUGUUGUGGUGGCUGUGAGGCUGAGCUGUGAAUCAAGAACCUACUAGUUUUCUGACUUCAUUUUUUUCCCUUUCAUGAAUGACUUAUGACACCUUAAGCAAAUUAAUGUAUCCUCAUUCCCCUAUCUGUAAAAAGGAGUAACAGUAUUAAUUUAUGAGGCAGUGUAGCUGUAUAGACUGCUGCAAAAAUACAUGUGAAAUACUUAUCAAUAUUUUUGGUGUUAAUAUUAGUGAAUUUUUUGGGUCUAAGAGUCACAGUGGGCAACUUCGAAGGACCUGGAGGCCAGUUUUCCAUCUACAUGACCCACCCAGGAUGCUGCACCAGCUUUCCAAAUGAAAAGAAGUAGGAAAAGCCAAAUGUGAGUUGCAAGGCUAUACACUUCCAGAGCAGAAGCUAAUUCUUUCUUUUUCCCAAGAGAAGCACAUGCUAGUGCUUCCAAAGCAGCUUUGACUGCGUGACACAUAUUGACAGUGCAUUACUUUGCCCACCCCUGAAAAAAACACCGUACAUUAGGACAGGAUUAGACACAAAGUACAUUGAUAUUUACUGGAGCAUCUCUGGAUGCAUUGGAAGGGUAGAAGUACAAAUGAUCCCUUCAUUUGACACUGUACUUAUCCCUUAUUUUCGUUUCCUUUUAACAAAUUCUCAAAUGGCUAGGCUAUUAUUUAAAGUUGAUAAAGGUAACUGACCAAAAUGCACUGCCUAUAUGUAGGACUGUAGGGGCAAGAAUAGAGGUGAAAGGAGAGGAGCAUAGAAACGUGGAUAGUCUCUGCCUGGGAAACAGUGGCCAUCAGAUCUGCCAGAAAGUGGUGAUACCAAGUCCCUUACCAUAACCAUGAAAAAGCUCUGCCCAAUGACUUCUGGUGCCUGUUAAUGGCCACAAGUUUUCCACAUUUUCCAGUGAAAAUGUAAAGACUAGAUUAUUUGUUUCAAAGACUUUUAAAUUCUUUUUAUUGUUAUUAUUACUAAAAACUACACAAGUCUCUUAAGGA